rnacentral:lncRNA from 1 species
UCAGGGUUUUAUUCCCUGUUGUUUUUCAGGUUAUAGUUUUGUGCUGCUGUUGAUGGUGUUAAGUGCCGGUGGGCUCGGCCUUCUUAUAUAAGUAUACCCCGUCUUUAUCUUCUUAUUGAGGAUGAUCACUUGAGCUAGCAUAUAUUUCAAACUUAUACUUUUGUAAUCACUCCGAUAAAAUAAUAUAAAAUUUUUGUAACCUGUAAAAUUUGGUAAUAAGAUUUCCGCUGCAAAAAUGUUGUGUGUGUGAUUUGUGUUACUUAGGGCCUGUUUGGUUCGUGGCUAAAUGUGCCACACUUUGCCUAAGGUUAGUCGUUCGAAUUGAAUAACUAACCUUAGGCAGAAAAGUUAGGCAAAGUGUGGCAACUGAGGUAGUGAACCAAACAGGCCCUUAAUCCCGCGGUUCUGGUUGUAAGUGGUUUAUCCGAUGUCCUUGGGCAAUCGGACGGAUCCUGUUAAGUUAUCUGGUGCACAUGCAUAGCUGUCUGAGGUCUUUGAGACAAGGACAGGUGCAUGUGGGCCCAAUAACUUGGGAGGUUCUGCCACAGCUGGCAGCAACACCGCGCAGGAAACGAAAAGCGCGAGCUCCCCGGCGGUGAGACCACUGGGGGGUGGCCCUGACGCGGAUCCCUCCAGCGAACGCCAGCGUGCCCCAUCCGGAGGCACGGAACGCGGAAGGGCGCGGUAAAUGCAAGAAAAGCGAGGCAUGGCUACUGCCCGAGGGACGAACUCCUUUUUAAAGGCAGAUUUCCUCGCUCGUGCCCCGAAGCGUCACGAUCAAGGUCUCCCCCGACGUGCGUCAGGGUUCCCAUUCUAUGACAUGGGGGCCAGGCCCCACAUGUCAUACAUCCGGCGCUGGCCCGAAGCGCGAGAAAGGCAAAUCGUCCCACAGGGAGCAUACAACCGCCCUGCGGUUAUACGCCCUUCCAUCUUUGCCGUAGCCAACGGUCAAGAAGGCGAACCGCCGCGCAAGAAGCGUGCAACCGUCCUGCGGUUAUUCGCCCUUAUAUCUUCGCCACAACCAACGAUCAAGGAGGCGAACCGCCGCGCAAGGAGCAUGCAACCGCCCCGCGGUUGCGCGCCCCCUCAGCUUCGCUGCAACCGGUGGCUCAACCUCUGGCAUGGGGGCCCGGGCCCACAUGUCAUACAUCCGGUGCGCCGGUUCCUGGGUGCAAGAAAGUCGCACCACCGCUCGUGCCAAUACCGUGCCUUCUCGGGUUCGUCGCAGAAGGCUAAGGAGAUAAAUUUUCAAAACUGAUGCAGCAACUCGAGGCACCCCGCGCAUGGCCCAACAAAGACAUUAAGUACGGAGGUCACGAGCCAGUCAGCCGCGGGGACAGGCAUGGCAAUCGACGUGAUCAUAGGCGGGCCGGCAGUAACUGCAUCAACGAGUGCGCAGGAGCAGCGAGCCGAUCACCAGUCAAACUCUGGCCCCACCUGCAGGCUCGCAUCCUGUAACACCCCAGGUGUUUAUAUUCCGCUCGGCAACGAGUACGGAUUUAAGCACGUGAUAUCAGUGAAUAAGAUGAACACUAAGGUCUAAUUAUUUUUGCCUAUCGCGAUUUUACCCAAACAUCGCAUCUGUUUCGUCUAUCGCGAGUGCGAUGUCGUUUUAAUUUUUAUCUGUCCGGGCUCUUCCGAAUUUUUUGUGUUGUUCGGAACAUAGUCGUUCCGAAAAUCGGUGCGUCCGGUGAUUAUUUAAAUUCAUCGCUCGCGCGAAUACAAAGUUCGGAAGUCCAACCCACUUGGACGAUUUUUAUUCCGAACAAAUUUAUUGGAACUCGACGACUAAAAUUUUCGGGGCGAAAUAAUUGGGAUCGCGCGUCGUCUGAGUGAAGUCGUGCGCGCGAAUAUGAUUCAAUUUAUCCGUCCGCACGCUGUUUUGACGACGAAAUCGCGUCCAAGGAUUUAUAAUUGAGAUUUGAUUCUCUAAUAAAUUAUCUAGGGCACAUCGAUCAAGUGUUCGAGCAGUAGAUGAAAGUGUCUAAUUUUAAACUAUGACAGAUCCAGUUUAUAUUAGUAUAACCAAUAUUGUUUGGGUUUAUUCUAUUUGCAUCUUGUUUUGAUUCAAAUCUGGGAACAUAGAUGCAUACAAGUUUUUGUAGCAGAGGAAAUAUCUUCUCGGAUAUUUUUACAGCCAACUCUAUCUCCAGUCGUUAUCCUGCGCCGCUCAACUCUGAAAAACAAAAAUCCCACCGCCUCAGCCUUUCUUUAUCUCCUGCGCGAGUCAUGCUCGUGCUCAUCUUCUACAGCCACCACGCCCCUAUCCUUAUCUCCUGCACGCGAUCUUCUCAAGCUUCUUCCUCCUCGCGUCUUCCUGGCAGCCGGCGCUCGACCGCUCGCGCCCUGUACUCGCGCCCCUCCGCUCUGCUUGGAGUUUUCCCUGCCGCGCGCUUUCCCCAAGCCGCGAAUCCAUCGUGGGGCUGCUCCAGCCGUGCCCCUGGUCCGUGGCAUGGCCGCCAUCAAGCCCCUGGAACUUCCUCGCCUGCGCGCUCCUCUGCGUCGUGCUCUGCUCGCGUAGCUCCCUCUGGCCUUCAGUUUCCAUGGCCGGCGCUUCUCCCAGCGGACCGCGCCCUCCUCUACUUGAAUUUUGUGCGCGAGCUCGUCGUGGAGUUCGCCUCUGCGCCUGGCUCCUGCUCGCUCUUCCCCCAGCUCGCCGUCCUUGCUCCAAUCCUCGUCCUGGUCGCGCGUGCUCUGUGGCAGAACCUCCCAAGUUAUUGGGUCCACAUGCACCUGCCCUUGUCUCAAAGCCCUCAGACUGCUAUGCAUGUGCACCAGAUAACUUAACAGGAUCCGUUCGAUUGCUCCAAGGACAUCGGAUAAACCACUUACAACCAGAACCGCGGGAUUAAGUAACACAAAUCACACACACCAAUAUUGUUGCAGCGGAAAUCUUACUACCAAAUUUUAUAGGUUACAAAAAUUUUACAUUAGUUUAUCGGAGUGAUUACAAAAGUAUAAGUUUGAAAUAUAUGCUAGCUCAAGGGAUCAUCCUCAAUAAGAAGUAUAGAAGGGUUACUUAGACUUAUAAGAAGGCCGAGCCCACCGACACUUAACACCAUCAUCAGCAGCACAAAACUAAAACCUGAAAAACAACAGGGAAUAAAACCCUGAGUAUGGAAUUACUCAGCAAGUCUUACCCGACUAAAGAAAAGACUCUCAAUGGUAUGCUGGCUUAAGGGAGUCAAGGUAAGGCUUCUCAAUAAUUAAAGACUCUGUUUUGCAGAAAUGCUUACUAAAGUGGAUCCUUAAAAAUCCAGUUUUAUUUGUCAAGUUAAGUUUACCUGCAACUAGAGUUCUUUCUACCCUAGUUCAAUCACUUGGCCUGCACUAGCCAAUUUCUUAAACAAACCAUCAUCUUUAGUGGAUUGCUACGUGUAAGUCAGUGACCAAGUCUUCAUAACCGCGAAGGUACGGCGAUCCGAAUCGAUUAUACUCAGCUGAGGAUCUCCAAUCACACGACAUAUGUAGCACUUAACCCUUGCAUAUGUCAACCCGCCACCGGGGUUCUUAAGACCAGAUCAGGUUCACGCAAACCGAGAGCACAGAUACACCACCGUCCAGCCUCUUGCUACGGAGGGUAAACGCUACUCUCGCCACCGCUCCACGCCCAUUCCAUGUUAUCUUAUUCUGGCCUUAGUCUGACCGAGGCAAGGCUUACCCAUGAUGAGGCAUGUGACCAGUUAAAGGGUCCCCAGUCAGCAGGCCUACAUCGAGACGGUCCUUAAUCGACUCAGACGGAGACACUACACCGAGACUCCUUUCUCGUGCAAGUCACCCGCCCGGUCUCGGCUUAAUCAUUUCAAACCCAAAGUUUGGUACCUGGCAGAGGUACAUCUUUUCCGAUGUUGAACCCAUCAAGGCUCUGAUGGAUCCACCAUCACAUUUUAUUUUCGAAAACAUCCCACCCACUUUUGCCACAUCAUCUUUUGUAAAACAAAACAUUUUGUUUUUCUAAAGCAAGGCUAAGCAUCAAAAUCUUUUGUAAAAUGGGUGAUCAAGGAAGGUAAUCAAAUUCAAGGAAGGUAAUGCAGGAAUUGUUUUAUCAAUCAACUCCUAUCACCUAAUGCAUCAAGCAAGUGAGAAAGAUUUUAAAACAUCAAGGAAGGUGGCAAAUGCACCGGGGCUUGCCUGAAUAACAUUAGGUUAGUGUUUGUUAGGCGAUGUCCGCUUGACGAGUAUCCUUUGUUCUGAUACUUGUUUCGUCGGUCUAUCAACAUCACCAUGCGGAGUAGCCCGCUCUUGGGGUCGACUUGGCUCAUAUUUCGCAUCACGCGAUUAUUUAUCGUACCUCAUGAGAUGCACGAUGCACAUGUAUGAGCACAUGUAUAACGAGUAUAAUAUAGAUAAUCUACACUAAAAAGGAUGAAACACUUUAAAACCAAGCAUUAAGCACCAUGGAUAUCACAACAAAAAAAUAUCUCUAUUUUUUCCCCACACGACGCUACCAAAACAAGGAUAUAUUUAUAACAAAAACAUAAAUCUAAAUAUUAGGUUAUAGUUUGAGAGAGGUAUAAAUGAGCCAGACCGAAAUAAUAUUGACGACAAUAUCUGUUUAACUUGAAAAACAUUCCUAGAACCAGAUAAAUUUCUACCAGUUAUUAAUAUCCAAUUAUUUGGAUUUGUUCAGGUAGGAGGUAAACAGAUCGAAUUAAAAUGAUAUUUAGGUUACACAUAUUAUUUUUCGGACUACGAAUUAGUGAACCAACUUAAUUAUCAAUUACUCGCUUUCAGUUCUAAUUACACUGGUCUGGUUUGUUUCGGACUGAAAACCAUUUUCGUCGAGUUCCGAUUAAUUUGUUCCGAAUAAAAUCAUCAGAGUGGGUCGAGCUUCCGAAUUUAUAUUCGCACGGGCGAUGAAUUUUAAAUAAUCACCGGACGCACCGAUUUUCGGAACAACUAUGUUCCUAACAUCACAAAAAUAUAGGAAAAGCCCGGAUAGAUAAAAAAACGAUGUCGAACCCGCGACAGACGAAACAGAUUAAAACAGAGAGACUGUUAUUUAGUUUCGUCAAAUUUUUACGAUCCUCACUAGUGAUCGAUCAUUUGAUCUGACACCAACGAUCACAUGCUGAGAGGAACGAUUUACUUUAUCAGCUAGCGCAUCGUUCUGUUCGGACAGCGCGGGCUCCAAAUUGUUCAUAAAAUCAGAAGUUUUCUGAUUUCCGUAUUCACUUACGCGCAUGAUCCGAACAGUUCAAAAAUCGCCAGCAAACGAAGAUUCGAUAAUCCAAAAAUUUCUCGAACCCCUUUUAAUUACGUAGAUUAUCGAAAUGAAAAUGGCACCAAACUCGAACCUUUGCGAGAUAAUUAAAAUUUAGUGUCCGUUUUAUUCAUCGCUAUCACGUGUUAAGGCCCGCAAUUGUGGUCGAGCAGACGAUAAACACCUGGGGUGUUACAACCCUCCCCCUUAAAAGAAUCUCGUCCCGAGAUUCGGAACGAAAGACUUUUAAGAGUAGAGAAUAAUGUAACUCCUAUCCAUAUCAGUGGUAACCAUAAAACAGCUCCAAGCAAAGGCGGGUGUCUCAGGAUGUUGUUUCUCUAGUGGACAUAUCAUGUGUCGCCUUAGGCUAAUUUAGAGAUGUCCACCAAUAGAGACGCUGUCUGACAGAAGAACACAUAAGGUUCCAUGUGUGCAGUUUGCUUUUUCUGAUGACACAGUACUAUCUGAGUCUGUUGAGCGAGUGGCAAUUACGCGAUUUUUACCCAAACAGAACCAAAUGCAACCUCUUGGGUAAACACACAGAAAACGUUUACCAACAAGUGGUCGCAAUAAGUUCAUAGCACACGAGACGAGUGUGAAUGUCGAAUAACAUCACAUUUAACUCGUGGCUAGCUAGAAAAUCCAAGUCCAAGAAAAUGAUAGAGACUCUAAAAAUAUCAACGAAGAGAUCCGUUGAUGUUGUCUUCGCAACCAAUCCAUUUUAUCAUGCACUAGGCAUGGCUCGACAUGAUCACACACGCUGGAAAAGCACGCAUGUGGCGGUCGAGGCGUGACUAGAGCGAUAACUAGGUGGUUACCAGUUGACUUAAUUUGAUUCUCGUAAGUACUUCCUUUAGGGUGGGGUGAACCAAAGUGAGUUCAGGCAAAUCGAUAAAACGAUCUCUAAACUCAACCUUUGUUUCAAAUGCAGUUACAAGUUAGUCAAAACCAACUUGUUGAACUACUUUUGACAUUGAGCAAGUCCUCUCAGUACCAUCAGUAAGCCAAGGGUUGAGAGUUCACAUUUGCUAAUAGGAAAUCCUGCACUUGGUUAGAAAUCUAUUUGGUCAUGUUGUUCAUCCGUUUCUUCAUGCGAGACGCAUUAUCCACUUGGUUAGGGAAUACAUGGAUUAAAUAAGAGAGCGAAUGAACAAACUCCUGCAUCUCAGCAGCAGGGGAAACAGAUCUCCAUAUUGAGAGCUAAUCAGUUGUUUUCCAGCACUAAAAAACUCCAAGGCUUCACCUUUACACAAAGUACGUAAAGGGAACUUGUAUGAGUAGUCACUACCAAGAUCAAAAGAAAUAAGACCACACAUGAAAGUGGUAUGCCCUUUUGAUCCAACAGGGAUGAUAGAUGUUGCUUGAUAACUUGACAAACAACAUAGAAAUUGUUUCAAGGAAAGGUCCACGGAAGAUAACAUAUUGAUAUAAUCUCAUAAUGGAUUAUGACUACUAACUAUGAUACUAACGUGUGCCGAGUAGCGCAACCAUGUGCGCACACCUAGAAGGCCCUCGGUUUCGUCACGACACCACUUGUUUUAGUCAUAACACCAUUACCAGAUGUAACCAAUAAGAAAUCUCACGCAUCACAAAUAAACUGAGCAAGGGUGACAAUAUAUAAGAGAUACUUUACUUGUAAGAAUGGUUACAAGUAGAGAGUCAAAGAGGUCAUGGCCCGAUGAAAUGAACAAGGCAUGGCCAUAACCUAAAUUUGAUGAAAGGAGUACGAUGGGAGACUGUUACUUCAGCCCCAAGCAUAUUUCUAUGCCCAUCGUAGAGAUCACAAGGUCAAGGAUCAGUAUCUGACUAGAUACAGGGGAAAACAAUCAUAAGAUUAAGUUGGUAUGCCUUCGAUAAGUAUGGGGAAGCCAAAGGCAUCAAACUCAAGAAAAUGAUCGGACAUGUCUUUCCUAAAUUAGGUUGGUAAAAUAACAUGGCGAUCCUUAAGAACAGGCAAACUGGAAUAGAGACAUCAGCUUGCGCCAAUCGAACAAGGGCAUGAUCUAAGAUGGGAAUAUGACUCAAGAUUCUUGUUUCCAGUCCGGGUACACUUUAUGUACAACAAAGAAAUUAUCUAAGCAUUUAUUUGUAUGUGUUUGGUCAUGGAGUGAUAACGGAAAAAUUUAAGUUUUGGGUCAUGGUUCACUAAAUAAGAACAUGGCCUAGUUUUGGGUUUAGGCAAUCAAUUACCAACUUUCUAUCGACACAUCAAGCACAGGAGCAAGCACAUAAAGCACCUUAAGAGGUCACCUAAAGAAUGGAGGACACCUAUUUCAUCGAAGUUCAUAAUUCAGCAUUACACCAUAUUAUCUACAAUCAAUGGCUACUGGAAUUGUCGGCGUCUCGAGACCGGGGGGUCCCUAAGCCGACGAGUGAGUGUGCCGCGUGCCCCAGCCCAGAUGGGUCGAGCGCGUGGGCGAGCGCGAAGGGGGGAAGCGAGGUGGCCGGAGACGGGCGUGAGAGAGGUGGAAAUCCCGCGGCCUUCGUGUUCGUCCCGCGCCCAGGUCGGGUGCGCUUGCAGUAGGGGGUUACAAGCGUCCACGCGGGUGAGGGAAGCGAGCGGCCCCAAGAGAGCGCCUGUCCCGUCCUCGUCCCCGCGUGGCCGACCUUCUCUAAGAAGGCCCUGGUCCUUCCUUUUAUAGGCGUAAGGAGAGGAUCCAGGUGUAUAAUGGGGGUGUAGCAGAGUGCUACGUGUCUAGCGGGGGUAGAGCUAGCGCCCUAAGUACAUGCCAAUGUGGCAGCCGGAGAGAUCUUGGCACCCUGCUGGUGUGAUGUCGUGGCUGUCGGAGGAGCAACGGAGCCUGGCGGAGGGACAGCUGUCGGAGCGGUCGAGUCCUUGCUGACGUCCCCCUGCUUCCGUAAGGGAGCUGAGAGCCGCCGUCGUCAUAGGGCUAGCGGGGCGCCAUCAUUGCCUAUCUGGCGGAGCUAGCCAGAUGGGACACCGGUCUUGUUCUCUGCGGCCCGAGUCGGUUCGGGGUAGGGUGAUGAUGGCGCUUCCUGUUGACGUGGCUGGCAUGUGCCCUAGGUCGGGCGACGUGGAGGCUCCUCCGAAGCCGAGGUCGAGUCUGUCUUCCAUGGUCGAGGCCGAGCCCGAGCCCCUGGGUCGGGCGAGGCGAAGGUUGUUCGGCAGAGGCCAGGGCGGAGUCCGAGCCCUGGGGUCGGGCGAAGGGGAGUUCGUCGUCUUCUGGGGCUGAGCCCGAGUCCGAGCCCUGGGUCGGGCGGAGCGGAGUUUGUCGUCUUCUGGGGCUGAGCCCGAGUCCGAGCCCUGGGUCGGGCGGAGCGGAGUUCGUCGUCUUCUGGGGCUGAGCCCGAGUCCGAGCCCUGGGUCGGGCGGAGCGGAGUUCGUCGUCUUCUGGGGCUGAGCCCGAGUCCGAGCCCUGGGUCGGGCGGAGCGGAGUUCGUCGUCUUCUGGGGCUGAGCCCGAGUCCGAGCCCUGGGUCGGGCGGAGCGGAGUUCGCCGUCUUCCGGGGCUUAGCCCGAGUCCGAGCCCUGGGUCGGGCGGAGCGGAGUUCGCCGUCUUCCGGGGCUUAGCCCGAGUCCGAGCCCUGGGUCGGGCGGAGCAGAGUUUCCUAUGGCGCCUUUGGCAGGGCCUGACUGCCUGUCAGUCUCACUCUGUCAAGUGGCACUGCAGUCGGAGUGGCGCAGGCGGCGCUGUCUUUCUGUCAGACCGGUCAGUGGAGCGGCGAAGUGACGGCGGUCACUUCGGCUCUGCUGGGGGGCGUGCGUCAGGAUAAAGGUGUCAGGCUACCUUUGCGUUAAAUGCUCCUGCGACUCGGUCGGUCGGCGCGGCGAUUUAGUCAGGGUUGCUUCUUAGCGAAGGCAAGGCCUCGGGCGAGCCGGAGAUGUGUCCGUCGUUAAAGGGGGGCCUCGGGCGAGACGGAAAUCCCUCGGGGUCGGCUGCCCUUGCCCGAGGCUAGGCUCGAGCGAGGCGUGAUCGAGUCGCUCGUAUGGACUGAUCCCUGACUUAAUCGCACCCAUCAGGCCUCUGCAGCUUUAUGCUGAUGGGGGUUACCAGCUGAGAAUUAGGCGUCUUGAGGGUACCCCUAAUUAUGGUCCCCAACAGUAGCCCCCGAGCCUCGAAGGGAGCGUUAGCACUCGCUUGGAGGCUUUCGUCGCACUUUUUUGCAAGGGGACCAGCCUUUCUCGAUUGCAUUUUGUUCCGGUGGGUGCGCGCGAGCGCACCCGCCGGGUGUAGCCCCCGAGGCCUCGGAGGAGUGGUUUCACUCCCCCGAGGUCUUAAUGCCUUGCGUAAUGCUUCGGCUGGUCUGGUUGUUCCCUCAUGCGAACUGGCCGUAGCCCGGGUGCACGGUCGGGGCCCAAGUUCUCGGGCUGGUAUGUUGACGCUGUCAACGGUUCGGCCGGAGCCGGGUUUGCGAGAGCAGCCCCUGAGCCUCCGCACAGGGCGAGAGGGCGAUCAGGGACAGACUCGGCUUUUUUACAUACGCCCCUACGUCGCCUUUCCGCAAGGAGGAGGGGGGGAGAGCGCCAUGUUACCCUCGAUGGGCACCGAACAUGGUGUCUCCGGUGAGCUGCAAGCGGGUAAUCCGAGUGGACGUCCGUGCCCCGUUCGUUGGGGUCGGCUAGGGGCCUAGAGGCACGCCCAAAAGUACCUGCAGGUGAUCUGCCGGACCCGGUCCCCCUGGCGACGGGGUCCGAGGGCUCGAUGCCUCCCUCCGAUGGGAUUCCGUUACAAGAUCGCUCCCGCUGGUCUCGGAAAUGUCCUAGGGUACCUCGAGAGCGCAGCCCGAGCCUUGGUUAUGUAUCGAACGUACCCCUGGUCAUCCCUCGCUCGGCGUCUGAGGCGACUGUGAACCCUUCGGGGGCCAGCCUUCGAACCCCUGAUCAGUAAUGGGCGCGGAGCCCGAGUAGCCUGAGGCGGCUGUGGAGCCCUUCGGGGGGCUGGCCUUCGAACCUCUGACCAGUAGUGGGUGUAGGGCCCACGCGAUCUGAGGCGACUGUUGAACCCCUCGGGGGGCUAGCCUUCGAACCUCUGAUCAGUAGGGGGGCUCGGAGCCCGGUUCCUUCACAGAGAUUGAUCCUUUUCGGGGUAUCCCCCUUUCCCGGUCCCUGUUGCAAGAGAUAGAGAAAGAGGAAAAAAGGAAAAGGAUACGAAAUCGAACGACGUGGCGUACCUUUUUUGGCGCGGUUAUUACGGCGAAGGCGAAGCGUCGCCCGCUUCUCCUGCCAGAAGCACCGCCUGUCCCGCCGCGGAGUUAAUGCGACGGGGUGAGUUGUUGGUAGGGCGGCCGUUGCGCGUGCGCGAGCCGUUCGAGGAACGGCUGUUUCGCUUCGUGUUUUUUGAAUCCCGCGUCCGGUCCGGGCGGAGCGCUGGAAACGGUCUCGCCCUGGUCUUUAUAUACCCGGGAGAGGGUCUGGUGACGGUUCUUCGCUCCGCUUCCUGCCUCUUCCUUUAGGUUUUCGCAACCCGAGAAACUUUAGCCAGAGAAGAGGAAACCGCCCUUCCUGCCCCUUGCGCCGCCAUCCCUUCCGUUUUGGUGAUGGCUGAUCGGGUGACCAUAAUCUCCCCGCGCGAUCCGUGGCCCUUUUCCACGGUGACGGCGAGCGAUCUGGAGGAGCUGGUUGGCGAGGGUUUGCUUCGCCCUCUCACCGAUGAGCAGCGACCAGAAUGGAUUCCUCCCAUGGGCGGAGUCGCUCCAUCCCCACCGCCGGGGUACGUCGUGAGCUUCGUCUCCUUCCACGAGCGAGGAUUCGGUGUGCCGACGGGCCGCUUUAUGCGGGCAAUCCUGUUCCACUAUGGGGUGGAGUUGCAUAACCUCACCCCCAACUCCAUCUCGCAGGCUGCUAUCUUCGUAGCGGUGUGCGAAGGGUAUUUGGGGAUCGCCCCCCAUUGGGAUUUGUGGACUCAUCUCUUCUUCGCCGAGCUUUUUGCCUUGCCGACGGGGGAGAGGAAGGUCCGUGCAGCGGUGCGGGCCGGCGGCUGCACCCUCUUGCUGAGGCAGUCGCGGGCGUCGCAGUACAUUCCUGCCAUCCUCGCGUCCUCGAACAAGGGGUGGCAGCGCCGGUGGUUCUACCUCCGGAAUGACGGUGAGUUGCUCCCGCCGUUCUCCCAGCGAGUAGUCACCGCCGCCACCGACGCCUGGCGUCAUGGGACCCCGCACGAGAGACAGAAGAACCUCGAACCUCUUCUCUAGGCCCUGAAGGCGUUGCGGGAGGAGGGACUCACCGCUGCGGGAGUGGUUGCCGCCAUCCACCGUCGGAGGGUGCUUCCCUUGGCGGAGCGGCGGCUGCCGCUUUGGGAGAUGACCCCGGAGGCUGACUGGGAGGGCUCACGAAUGUCCCCUGAUCCUCUUCCCUUCGACGCCCUCCAAUGGCGGGUGUCGGCUGCGAUGGGGAAGCCGGACUCCCACGCCUUCUCCCAGCUUCGGAUGCGCCCCGACCAGGGGUGCGUAACUCUGGUGAGUGUUCGCUCCUUCCUUCUUCAUACAUCGGGUUGCUCCUGGUUCUUACGAUCGGGUUUCUUUCCCCCCUUCUUUAGGAGGUGGGGUGGCACAAGCCCUCCCUGCCACGGGUCCCGGAGGACGCGGUGGACCGAGCAGCGAGGCGGGUCGCCGCGGAGGAGAAGAAGAAGAAGAAGGACGCGGAGAAGGCCCGGGCCCGCGAGCGGAGGCGGGCUCGGGACGCCUUGGAGAAGCGCCGUCGCCAGUAGGAGAGGGAAGGACUCCCAAGGCAGCCGUCGCCGGAGACGCCCGACGACGACGAUGACGACGAUGAUGAGGAGGAGGACGACAUGGCCGCCCGUCUCGGCCUCAGCCCCGGCUUGGGGUGUGGCCAGGAGCCGUCGAGCCAGCCCCCGAGCGGGCCGACACCGUCAGUCCCCAGAGUUGGGGCGUCGGGGUCCCGGCCCGAGGCACGGGGGCGACCCAAGAGGUCACCUGACCCCUCGGCUGGAGGAGCUGAGGUGGCUCCAGAGGGCCAGGUCAGGGCGUCUGCUCCCUAGGGGCCGCCGCUCGUACCGGCAGCGCAUGGGGGUGACCCUCAAGUCAUCGCGACCGUGCCCGGGCAAUCUGCUCCCCGGGCGUCCAAAGCAAGGGUGGCGCCGAAGUUGCCGGCGAAGCGGACCUCGGCGGCUGUUUCGGGAGCCGGGAUCCAAGAAACCUCCCCCCAGGCGCGGUGGAUCAUGGCCCGAAGUGGGUAAGUAUCUCGGAAUGUCUUCGUCUUGGCUUCCCAUUCAUAUGUCUCGGCCGUGAUUUUCCUUUUCUUUUUUUUUCUUUUUUUUAUUCAGCAAGCGAAGCCAUGGCCAGACCGACCUGGCACCCCGGAAGGCCCUUAAGACGGCGCCGGUCUGUGCGGCCAGCGCCGCCCCGGGCCUUGUCGUUCAGCCGACCCUUUCGCAGGGCGUUUCACCGCAGGGGGCUCGGGCGUCGCCUGUCUCUGGGGAGCAGGUUCUCGAGGCUGGCUCUUCUGCCGAGGCGGCCAUCGUGAUAGGGGAGGCGGCUGACGCCGACGUGGUCCCGAGCCCGCCUGUCGUGCCGGCCAUGCUGGCGCCUGCCGCUACCGAAGUCGCCGCCGUCCCAGUCGGAGAGCGACCGGUUGCUGCCAGCGUCGGGAUGGCUGAUGCGUCGGCGCCCAGUGCCUCGGAAGAGGUGGGCGUGGACGCGCGAUCCGUCCAGCCGGGCGGCAGCCUCAUCGCUGUGCGGCGGAGCCCCGAGGCCCGGCGCCAGUUGCUCCGAUUCCAGACCCGCGAGGCCUCGGACCCUAUCUUUGUUCUCGACGAUGAACAGGAGGACCAAUCCUGGGAUGAGCUCCGCGAGCAUGCUGAAGCAACGGUGGGGUCACUCCGGUCGUCGCUGGAGGUUUUCUGCAGGGACGUCCCCAAAAUCCUCCAGGUAACGGUUUCAGGCAUACCUUUUCCUUUCUGUGAGCGAGGCAUUCGUCGUGACGCCCUGUUUCCAUCCCCCAGGAUCUGACGGAUCUGAGCGCCUCCAAGUCGUCGUUCAUCCGCCGCGAGGUCGAUGUCUGGGGCUCGCUGCGAUCCCUGAGGACCUCGCUCGCCGGGGCUACUGCGCGCCUUUCUCAGCAGGAUGCCAAGGUAGCGGACCUCCAGUUGCUCUGCGCUGACCUGAGAGCCGAGGCGGCAGCAGCGCGCGCGGAGGCGCAACGGCAGCGGUCGGAGUUCGUCCAGGUCGUCGAGGAGCGGGACCAAUCUCGGGGCCGGGCUGCCGAGGCCGAAAGCCGGGCUGAGACCCUCGCGGCUGACCUAGCCGCAGCCCAGGUCGCGGCCUUGGAGCAGCGUGCCCGAGCCGGAGGUACGCCUUGGCCGUCCCUGGUUCUUGUUCUUGUCUGUUUCCUCUGCUUGUGCUUGAGGUCUUUCUUCUGGUUGUUCGCAGAGCUCGAGUCCGCCCUUGACGAGUCCGCCAAGGCGCUCGCCGAGGCGCUUGCCGGAGCUGCCGAGAAGAGGGAGGCUGACCUCGCGGCCAUGUCCGAGGCCGUCUCGGACGUUUAUCGGAUCUUUGGCUCCGGCGACGUCCCUUCAGGAAGCUCCCCUCAAAGCCGCCUUCAAGCCUUGGGUGAUCACGCGCGCGGCAGAGUCCGCGAGGCUCUACACCACGGCGUCAGGCGGGCCUUCGCCGUGCUCGCUUCCCAUUAUGUUGUGGACCUGGAACGGGUUAGUGAGGGGUAUUGUCUUCCUGACAAAGACGAAGCUGCCCUGGCAGAAGUUCAGCGGCUCGACGAGGUCGCCGCGGGUCCGAGCGCGGCGCUGGCGACCACCUUUGAGGCGGAGAUCCUUCCCCCUGCGCCGUCGCCGGAAGCCGAGAUGGACCUUACCGACGGUGGGGACGGAACUGAGGGCGCGGCUCCUUCCCAAGGCGGCGCCUAACUCUUGUUGGAACAGUUUCUGUUGGAUGUGCGUCUUACCGCGGCCGCUAAGGCCUGAACACUUUGUUUUUCUUGCAUGAAGUCGUACUCUCCUUUCUUUCAAUUUGCGUGUCCGGCCUAGCUUGUCAAUAAUAGGGUGGCUUCCCGAGUUGGGUCAUUUUUCGUGGCAGGUGAUGAGUGAGGUGUCCCUAACCCGGAGGCAUAGGAGUUCCUCGGCUCAGUCGGCCUCGCCACUUACAUGUACCCACGUUCGCUCCUCGGGACCCUGCUUCUGACAUAGCCGGGAGAACGCAAAAGCCCCUUUUUGAUCGAAAUUUUUUGAUGCGGAGAAGUACACCCAAUCUCGACGCAGAGGGGUUCCCCCUUUUUAGCCCCCGAGGGAGGGUCGGGCUCUGCCGAGGCGAGGCCGACCCUUCCUUGACGACUGAUACUUGUGUAUGAGCGAGGUAUACGAACAGCUUGAAAACAUCUUAAGGGUAGAAGCGACGUAGCUGUCAGACGUUCCAAGCGUUGCCGUAGACCUCGCCUUGACCGCCGGCCAGCUCGUACGUUCCGGGCUCCAGAACGUCGGCGAUGACAGGCGGCCUUUCUCGGGGGUGUGUGCAGCCCCCGGGUACCCCCAGCAAGGGCUCGGGGUGCCGUGCGAUGGUCGGGGUUUUCUCCUGGUUGGCUUCGAUGCUCCGUUUGGAGAUAAUGAACUCCAAGACCGUGCCCUGGGACGCCCCGAGGACUCGCCUUUCAGGGCUGAGCUUGACACUUUUCGCUUCUUUUAGCUUGUGGAUCUCCUCGCCUAUCACUCUGCGCUUCUCCUCGUCGAAUCGGCGCAGAGGCUGCCUGACGGGUCGGGCUCCAGCCCGAAUAUCCAGCGAGUGCUCGGCGACAUCCCUCGGUAUGCCGGGCAUGUCCGAGGGACUCCACGCAAAGACGUCGGCGUUUGCGCGGAGAAAGUCGACGAGCACUGCUUCCUAUUUGGGGUCGAGCCCGGAACCGAUCCGGAUCUGCUUGGAGGUGUCGCCACUGGGGUCGAGAGGGACGGCCUUAACCGUCUCCGCUGGCUCGAAGUUGCCGGCAUGACGCUUCACGUCUGGCACCUCUUUGGAGAGGUUCUCCAGGUCGGCGAUGAGGGCCUCGGACUCGGCGAGGGCCUCGGCGUACUCCACGCACUCCACGUCGCAUUCGAACGCGUGUUUGUACGUGGGGCCGACGGUGAUGACCCCGUUGGGGCCCGGCAUCUUGAGCUUCAUGUAGGUGUAGUUGGGGACGGCCAUGAACUUCGCGUAGCAUGGCCUCCCCAGUACCGCGUGGUAGGUUCCUCGGAACCCGACCACCUCGAACGUCAAAGUCUCCCUUCGGAAGUUGGAGGGCGUUCCGAAGCAGACGGGAAGGUCGAGUCGUCCGAGGGGCUGGACGCGCUUCCCAGGAAUGAUCCCGUGUAAGGGCGCAGCGCCUGCUCGGACGGAGGACAGAUCGACGCGCAGGAGCCUGAGGGUCUCGGCGUAGAUGAUGUUGAGGCAGCUGCCCCCGUCCAUCAGGACCUUGGUGAGCCUGACGUCGCCGACGAUGGGGUCGACGACGAGCGGGUAUUUCCCCGGGCUCGGCACGUGGUCGGGGUGGUCAGCUUGGUCGAAGGUGAUGGGCUUGUCGGACCAGUCUAGGUAGACUGGCGCCGCCACCUUCACCGAGCAGACCUCCCGGCGCUCUUGCUUGCGAUGCCGAGCCGAGGCAUUCGCUGCAUGCCCACCGUAGAUCAUGAAGCAGUCGCGGACCUCGGGGAACUCUCCUGCUUGGUGAUCUUCCUUUUUGUCGUCGUCGUGGGCCCUGCCACCUUCUGCGGGUGGCCCGGCCCUGUGGAAGUGGCGCCGAAGCAUGACGCACUCCUCGAGGGUGUGCUUGACGGACCCCUGAUGGUAGGGGCACGGCUCCUUGAGCAUCUUGUCGAAGAGGUUAGCACCUCUGGGGGGCUUCCGAGGGUUCUUGUACUCGGCGGCGGCGACAAGGUCCGCGUCGGCGGCGUCGCGUUUCGUUUGCGACUUCUUCUUGCCUUUCUUCUUGGUGCAGCGCGGAGUAGACGCCUCGGGAGCCUCUUCCGAUGGGCGGCCCUGGGGCUGCUUGUCCUUUCGGAAGAUAGCCUCGACCGCCUCCUGGCCAGAGGCGAACUUGGUGGCGAUGUCCAUCAGCUCGCUCGCCCUGGUGGGGGUCUUGCGACCCAACUUACUCACCAGGUCGCGGCAGGUGGUGCCGGCAAGGAACGCGCCGAUGACAUCCGAGUCGGUGAUGUUGGGCAGCUCGGUGCGCUGCUUCGAGAAUCGCCGGAUGUAGUCCUGAAGAGACUCUCCUGGCUGUUGCCGGCAGCUUCGGAGGUCCCAGGAAUUCCCGGGGCGCACGUACGUGCCCUGGAAAUUGCCGGCGAUGGCUUGGACCAAGUAAUCCCAGUUGGAGAUCUGCCCCGGAGGCAGGUGCUCCAACCAGGCGUGAGAAGUGUCGGAGAGGAACAGGGGGAGGUUGCGGAUGAUGAGGUUGUCAUCGUCCGUUCCACCCAGUUGGCAGGCCAGGCGGUAGUCUGCGAGCCACAGUUCCGGUCUCGUUUCCCCCGAGUACUUUGUGAUAGUAGUCGAGGGUCGGAACCGGGUCGGGAACGGCGCCCGUCGGAUGGCCCGACUGAAGGCCUGUGGACCGGGUGGUUCGGGCGAGGGACUCCGAUCCUCCCCGCUGUCGUAGCGUCCCCCACACCUGGGGCGGUAGCCUCGGCGCACCCUUUCGUCGAGGUGGGCCCGACGGUCGCGGCGAUGGUGCUCGUUGCCGAGGUGCCCUGGGGCCGCAGGCGCGGUGUUGCGCGUGCGCCCGGUGUAGACCGAGGCUUCCCGCAUGAAUCGGGAAGUCGUGGCAUGAGGUUCCGAGGGGUAUCCCUGCCUUCGGGAGGCAGAGCUCUCGGCCCGUCGGACCGCAGCGCCUUCCAGGAGAUUCUUGAGCUCUCCCUGGAUUCGCCGACCCUCGGUGGUUGAUGGCUCCGGCAUCGCGCGGAGGAGCAUCGCUGCGGCUGCCAGGUUCUGACCGACCCCGCUGGAUGCGGGUGGCGGCCUGACCCUGACGUCGUAGGCGACGCGAUGCUGGAAACCCUGGGGCAGGUGACGUAUUUCUCCGGCCGGGGGUUGGCCCGCCCAUACCUGCCUGACGUCCCGGCGGAUCGACUCAAGCGCUCCUGCUCCCUCGUCGAGCCUGGCCUGCGCCCCGCGGACUUGCUCGAGCUGUGGGUCGUGACCCCCCGCCGGAACGGGGACCACAGCUAGCUCCCGCGGGAUGUCAGCGCCAGGCACCGGCCUAGGGAGAUCACCGUCCUCCGGCAUGCCGAGAUGGUUGCCUUCGGAGGGAUCCCCUAGCUCGACGUGGAAACAUUCGCGGCUUGGGCCGCAGUCCUCGUCGUCAAGGCUGCGGCUUCCGUUGGAGCGGUCGGAGAGGCAGUAGUCACAUGCGGUCAUAAAGUACCGCAUGGCACUGGGGUUGCCAAAUCCAGAGAAAUCCCAACAGAUGCUGGGAUCGUCGUCUUCCUCGGACCUAGAGGGCCCGUAGGUCGAGACGUCCGUCAAUCGGUCCCAAGGCGACCGCAUACGAAACCCCAGAGGGGUUGCACUCGCCUCAAUGAGAGCGCCCGCCAAAGCAAGGUCGCUAGGCGGGUUGAGGCCGAGUCGAAAUGACGUAGGAUGGGAAUCAGUCGGUACCUUUUGGUCGACGAGGAGCGACAUAGUCACGUCGGGGACUGACUGCACCGUCGUCUUAGGUACGAGGGCGACGUCCUGCAAGCCUUCCGCGAGUGCGCUGGCGUCGUCCACUUGCUCGGGAUUGGUGUGUCGCGGAGGGACGGCGCUCGCCUUCGUCUCAAACGCGAGGUCGACGCCCGACGCGCCCCCCGUUGGGGCGCUGGGGACGUCGAUUCGCUCGACAGCCGACGAAGCGCGGCCUCCCGCUUGGCCUUGGUUGCCCCGCCUCCUCCUCCGUUAGCGAGGGAGAGGACGGGGCGAGCUCGAAUGUUGUUCUUCCACCGCGCGGGGAAGAUGUCGUCGAUUCCGCCGCCGGCGGGUGGGUCGUCGGCCGCCAUUGUCGUUGUCGCGCGGCGGUGGAAGGAGUAUCAUGUCGUAGUUGCCGUCGAAGGACAUGAACUCAAGACUCCCGAAACGGAGCACCGUCCCGGGCCGGAGAGGUUGCUGGAGGCUGCCCAUCUGGAGCUUGACGGGAAGCUGUUCGUCAGCACGCAGCAGGCCCCUACCUGGCGCGCCAACUGUCGGCGUCUCGAGACCGGGGGGUCCCUAAGCCGACGAGUGAGUGUGCCGCGUGCCCCAGCCCAGAUGGGUCGAGCGCGUGGGCGAGCGCGAAUGGGGGAAGCGAGGUGGCCGGAGACGGGCGUGAGAGAGGUGGAAAUCCCGCGGCCUUCGUGUUCGUCCCGCGCCUAGGUCGGGUGCGCUUGCAGUAGGGGGUUACAAGCGUCCACGCGGGUGAGGGAAGCGAGCGGCCCCAAGAGAGCGCCUGUCCCGUCCUCGUCCCCGCGCGGCCGACCUUCUCUAAGAAGGCCCUGGUCCUUCCUUUUAUAGGCGUAAGGAGAGGAUCCAGGUGUACAAUGGGGGUGUAGCAGAGUGCUACGUGUCUAGCGGGGGGAGAGCUAGCGCCCUAAGUACAUGCCAAUGUGGCAGCCGUAGAGAUCUUGGCACCCUGCUGGUGUGAUGUCGUGGCUGUCGGAGGAGCAACGGAGCCUGGCGGAGGGACAGUUGUCGGAGCGGUCGAGUCCUUGCUGACGUCCCCCUGCUUCCGUAAGGGAGCUGAGAGCCGCCGUCGUCACAGGGCUAGCAGGGCGCCAUCAUUGCCUAUCUGGCGGAGCUAGCCAGAUGGGACACCGGUCUUGUUCUCUGUGGCCCGAGUCGGUUCGGGGUAGGGUGAUGAUGGCGCUUCCUGUUGACGUGGCUGGCCUGUGCCCUAGGUCGGGCGACGUGGAGGCUCCUCCGAAGCCGAGGUCGAGUCUGUCUUCCAUGGCCGAGGCCGAGCCCGAGCCCCUGGGUCGGGCGAGGCGAAGGUUGUUCGGCAGAGGCCAGGGCGGAGUCCGAGCCCUGGGGUCGGGCGAAGCGGAGUUCGUCGUCUUCUGGGGCUGAGCCCGAGUCCGAGCCCUGGGUCGGGCGGAGCGGAGUUCGUCGUCUUCUGGGGCUGAGCUCGAGUCCGAGCCCUGGGUCGGGCGGAGCGGAGUUCGUCGUCUUCUGGGGCUGAGCCCGAGUCCGAGCCCUGGGUCGGGCGGAGCGGAGUUCGCCGUCUUCCGGGGCUUAGCCCGAGUCCGAGCCCUGGGUCGGGCGGAGCGGAGUUCGCCGUCUUCCGGGGCUUAGCCCGAGUCCGAGCCCUGGGUCGGGCGGAGCGGAGUUUCCUAUGGCGCCUUUGGCAGGGCCUGACUGCCUGUCAGUCUCACUCUGUCAAGUGGCACUGCAGUCGGAGUGGCGCAGGCGGCGCUGUCUUUCUGUCAGACCGGUCAGUGGAGCGGCGAAGUGACGGCGGUCACUUCGGCUCUACUGGGGGGCGCGCAUUAGGAUAAAGGUGUCAGGCUACCUUUGCGUUAAAUGCUCCUGCGACUCGGUCGGUCGGCGCGGCGAUUUAGUCAGGGUUGCUUCUUAGCGAAGGCAAGGCCUCGGGCGAGCCGGAGAUGUGUCCGUCGUUAAAGGGGGGCCUCGGGCGAGACGGAAAUCCCUUGGGGUCGGCUGCCCUUGCCCGAGGCUAGGCUCGGGCGAGGCGUGAUCGAGUCGCUCGUAUGGACUGAUCCCUGACUUAAUCGCACCCAUCAGGCCUCUGCAGCUUUAUGCUGAUGGGGGUUACCAGCUGAGAAUUAGGCGUCUUGAGGGUACCCCUAAUUAUGGUCCCCGACAGGAAUAAAGAUGAGAGAAGCAUUUUGGAUGUACAGGUAACAAACAUAAUGCAACAAUCAGGAUGCAUGCGCGUCCUACACGUCCUCACAAAUUUUGCCAACAUAUGUGGCAAUAGCGUUCUAUCUCGGUGGCAUACUUAUGACUCUCACGGUAUUUUGCUUAUCGUCAACUACACAUACGUUUUCGAGGUUAGUGUACCUGCAGAAAAUUCUCAUCACAGCCUAAUUUCCCAAUGAUGCAAGUCACACAUGACAGUUUAUCAUAGUUUAUACUCCAUAUAUUGCUAUAUGGAGGCCAGCUCAUCAUUAAGCGCCGAGUCGCGCAUAGGCGCCGUUGCCACACUUUAACCAUAGGGCAACUCAUUAUGGUAACUAACCUUCUUACCUGAGCGUAGGUGCGUUGUUACAAGUACAUUACACUGCUCAGUAUUCCUGUCGGGGACCAUAAUUAGGGGUACCCUCAAGACGCCUAAUUCUCAGCUGGUAACCCCCAUCAGCAUAAACCUGCAGAGGCCUGAUGGGUGCGAUUAAGUCAGGGAUCAGUCCAUACGAGCGACUCGAUCACGCCUCGCCCGAGCCUAGCCUCGGGCAAGGGCAGCCGACCCCGAGGGAUUUCCGUCUCGCCCGAGGCCCCCCUUUAACGGCGGACACAUCUCCGGCUCGCCCGAGGCCUUGCCUUCGCUAAGAAGCAACCCUGACUAAAUCGUCGCGCCGACCGACCAAGUCGCAGGAGCAUUUAACGCAAAGGUGGCCUGACACCUUUAUCCUGACGCGCCCCCCCCGGCAGAGCCGAAGUGACCGCCGUCACUUCGCCGCUCCACUGACCGGUCUUACAGAAGGACGGCGCCGCCUGCGCCACUCCGACUGCAGUGCCACUUGACAGAGUGAGACUGACAUGCAGUCAGGCCCUGCCAAAGGCGCCAUAGGAAACUCCGCUCCGCCUGACCCAGGGCUCGGACUCGGGCUAAGCCCCGGAAGACGGCGAACUCCGCUCCGCCCGACCCAGGGCUCGGACUCGGGCUAAGCCCCGGAAGACGGUGAACUCCGCUCCGCCCGACCCAGGGCUCGGACUCGGGCUAAGCCCCGGAAGACGGCGAACUCCGCUCCGCCCGACCCAGGGCUCGGACUCGGGCUAAGCCUCGGAAGAUGGCGAACUCCGCUCCGCCCGACCCAGGGCUCGGACUCGGGCUCAGCCCCAGAAGACGACGAACUCCGCUUCGCCCGACCCCAGGGCUCGGACUCCGCCCUGGCCUCUGCCGAACAACCUUCGCCUCGCCCGACCCAGGGGCUCGGGCUCGGCCUCGGCCAUGGAAGACAGUCUCGACCUCGGCUUUGGAGGAGCCUCCACGUCGCCCGACCUAGGGCACAGGCCAGCCACAUCAACAGGAAGCGCCAUCAUCACCCUACCCCGAACCGACUCGGGCCGCAGAGAACAAGACCGGUGUCCCAUCUGGCUAGCUCCGCUAGAUAGGCAAUGAUGGCGCCCCGCUAGCCCUGUGACGACGGCGGCUCUCAGCUCCCUUACGGAAGCAGGGGGACGUCAGCAAGGACUCGACCGCUCCGACAGCUGUCCCUCCGCCAGGCUCCGUUGCUCCUCCGACAGCCACAACAUCACACCAGCAGGGUGCCAAGAUCUCUCCGGCUGCCACAUUGGCAUGUACUUAGGGCGCUAGCUCUCCCCCCGCUAGACACGUAGCACUCUGCUACACCCCCAUUGUACACCUGGAUCCUCUCCUUACGCCUAUAAAAGGAAGGACAAGGGCCUUCUUAGAGAAGGUUGGCCGCGCGGGGACGAGGACGGGACAGGCGCUCUCUUGGGGCCGCUCGCUUCCCUCACCCACGUGGACGCUUGUAACCCCCUACUGCAAGCGCACCCGACCUGGGCGCGGGACGAACACGAAGGCCGCGGGAUUUCCACCUCUCUCACGCCCGUCUCCGGCCACCUCGCUUCCCCCCUUCGCGCUCGCCCACACGCUCGACCCAUCUGGGCUGGGGCACGCGGCACACUCACUCGUCGGCUUAGGGACCCCCCGGUCUCGAGACGCCGACAGUUGGCGCGCCAGGUAGGGGUCUGCUGCGUGCUGACGAACAGCUUCCCGUCAAGCUCCAGAUGGGCAGUCUCCAGCAACCUCUCCGGCCCGGGACGGUGCUCCGUUUCGGGAGUCUUGAGUUCAUGUCCUUCGACGGCAGCUACGACAUGAUACUCCUUCCACCGCUGCGCGACAACGACAAUGGCGGCCGAUGACCCGCCCGCCGGCGGCGGAAUCGACGACAUCUUCCCCGCGCGGUGGAAGAACAACAUUCGAGCUCGCCCCGUCCUCUCCCCCGCCAACGGAGGAGGAGGCGGGGCAACCAAGGCCAAGCGGGAGGCCGCGCUUCGUCGGCUGUCGAGCGAAUCGACAUCCCCAGCGCCCCAACGGGGGGCGCGUCGGGCGUCGACCUCACGUUUGAGACGAAGGCGAGCGCCGUCCCUCCGCGACACACCAAUCCCGAGCAAGUGGACGACGCCAGCGCGCUCGCGGAGGGCUUGCAGGACGUCGCCCUCGUACCUAAGACGACGGUGCAAUCAGUCCCCGACGUGACUAUGUCGCUCCUCGUCGACCAAAAGGUACUGACUGAUUCCCAUCUUACGUCAUUUCGACUCGGCCUCAACCCGCCUAGCGACCUUGCUUUGGCGGGCGCUCUCGUUGAGGCGAGUGCAACCCCUCUGGGGUUUCGUAUGCGGUCGCCUUGGGACCGAUUGACAGACGUCUCGACCUACGGGCCCUCUGGGUCCGAGGAAGAUGACGAUCCCAGUGUCUGUUGGGAUUUCUCCGGAUUUGGCAACCCCAGUGCCAUGCGGGACUUCAUGACCGCAUGUGACUACUGCCUCUCCGACUGCUCCAAUGGAAGCCGCAACCUUGACGACGAGGACUGCGGCCCAAGCCGCGAAUGUUUCCACGUCGAGCUAGGGGAUCCCUCCGAAGGCAACCAUCUCGGCAUGCCGGAGGACGGUGAUCUCCCUAGGCCGGUGCUUCGCGCUGACAUCCCGCGAGAGCUAGCUAUGGUCCCUGUUCUGGUGGGGGGUCACGACCCACAACUCGAGCAAUUCCGCGGGGCGCAGGCCAGGCUCGACGAGGGAGCAGGAGCGCUUGAGUCGAUCCGCCGGGACGUCGGGCAGGUAUGGGCGAGCCAACCCCCGGCCAGAGAAAUACGUCACCUGCCCCAGGGUUUCCAGCACCGCGUCGCCAACGACGUCAGGGUCAGGCCGCCACCCGCAUCCAGCGGGGUCGGUCAGAACCUGGCAGCCGCAGCGAUGCUCCUCCGCGCGAUGCCGGAGCCAUCAACCACCGAGGGUCGGCGAAUCCAGUGAGAGCUCAAGAAUCUCCUGGAAGGCGCUGCGGUCCGACGGGCCGAGAGCUCUGCCUCCCGAAGGCAGGGAUACCCCUCGGAACCUCAUGCCGCGACUUCCCGAUUCAUGCGGGAAGCCUCAGUCUACAUCGGGCGCACGCGCAACACCGUGCCUGCGGCCCCAGGCCACCUCGGCAACGAGCACCAUCGUCGCGACCGUCGGGCCCACCUCGACGAAAGGGUGCGCCGAGGCUACCACCCCAGGCGUGGGGGACGCUACGACAGCGGGGAGGAUCGGAGUCCCUCGCCCGAACCACCCGGUCCGCAGGCCUUCAGUCGGGCCAUCCGAUGGGCGCCGUUCCCGACCCGGUUCCGACCCCCGACUACUAUCACAAAGUACUCGGGGGAAACAAGACCGGAACUGUGGCUCGCAGACUACCGCCUGGCCUGCCAACUGGGUGGAACGGACAACGACAACCUCAUCAUCCGCAACCUUCCCCUGUUCCUCUCCGACACUGCUCGCGCCUGGUUGGAGCACCUGCCUCUGGGGCAGAUCUCCAACUGGGAUGACUUGGUCCAAGCCUUCGCCGACAAUUUCCAGGGCACGUACGUGCGCCCCGGGAAUUCCUGGGACCUCCGAAGCUGUCGGCAACAGCCGGGAGAGUCUCUUCGGGACUACAUCCGGCGAUUCUCGAAGCAGCGCACCGAGCUGCCCAACAUCACCGACUCGGAUGUCAUCGGCGUGUUCCUUGCCGGCACCACCUGCCGCGACCUGGUGAGUAAGUUGGGUCGCAAGACCCCCACCAGGGCGAGUGAGCUGAUGGACAUCGCCACCAAGUUCGCCUCUGGCCAGGAGGCGGUCGAGGCUAUCUUCCGAAAGGACAAGCAGCCCCAGGGCCGCCCAUCGGAAGAGGCUCCCGAGGCGUCUACUCCGCGCGGCGCCAAGAAGAAAGGCAAGAAGAAGUCGCAAACGAAACGUGACGCCGCCGACGCGGACCUUGUCGCCGCCGCCGAGUACAAGAACCCUCGGAAGCCCCCCGGAGGUGCUAACCUCUUCGACAAGAUGCUCAAGGAGCCGUGCCCCUACCAUCAGGGGCCCGUCAAGCACACCCUCGAGGAGUGCGUCAAGCUUCGGCGCCACUUCCACAGGGCCGGGCCACUCGCAGAAGGUGGCAGGGCCCGCGACGAUGACAAAAAGGAAGAUCACCAAGCAGGAGAGUUCCCCGAGGUCCGCGACUGCUUCAUGAUCUACGGUGGGCAUGCGGCGAAUGCCUCGGCUCGGCAUCGCAAGCAAGAGCGCCGGGAGGUCUGCUCGGUGAAGGUGGCGGCGCCAGUCUACCUAGACUGGUCCGACAAGCCCAUCACCUUCGACCAAGCUGACCACCCCGACCACGUGCCGAGCCUGGGGAAAUACCCGCUCGUCGUCGACCCCAUCGUCGGCGACGUCAGGCUCACCAAGGUCCUGAUGGACGGGGGCAGCUGCCUCAACAUCAUCUACGCCGAGACCCUCAGGCUCCUGCGCGUCGAUCUGUCCUCCGUCCGAGCAGGCGCUGCGCCCUUCCACGGGAUCAUUCUUGGGAAGCGCGUCCAGCCCCUCGGACGACUCGACCUUCCCGUCUGCUUCGGAACGCCCUCCAACUUCCGAAGGGAGACUUUGACGUUCGAGGUGGUCGGGUUCCGAGGAACCUACCACGCGGUACUGGGGAGGCCAUGCUACGCGAAGUUCAUGGCCGUCCCCAACUACACCUACCUGAAGCUCAAGAUGCCGGGCCCCAACGGGGUCAUCACCGUCGGCCCCACGUACAAACACGCGUUCGAAUGCGACGUGGAGUGCGUGGAGUACGCCGAGGCCCUCGCCGAGUCCGAGGCCCUCAUCGCCGACCUGGAGAACCUCUCCAAAGAGGUGCCAGACGUGAAGCAUCAUGCCGGCAACUUCGAGCCAGCGGAGACGGUUAAGGCCGUCCCUCUCGACCCCAGUGGCGACACCUCCAAGCAGAUCCGGAUCGGUUCCGGGCUCGACCCCAAAUAGGAAGCAGUGCUCGUCGACUUUCUCCGCGCAAAUGCCGACGUCUUUGUGUGGAGUCCCUCGGACAUGCCCGGCAUACCGAGGGAUGUCGCCGAGCACUCGCUGGAUAUUCGGGCCGGAGCCCGACCCGUCAGGCAGCCUCUGCGCCGAUUCGACGAGGAGAAGCGCAGAGUGAUAGGCGAGGAGAUCCACAAGCUAAUGGCAGCAGAGUUCAUCAAAGAGGUAUUCCAUCCCGAAUGGCUUGCCAACCCUGUGCUUGUGAGGAAGAAAGGGGGGAAAUGGCGGAUGUGUGUAGACUACACUGGUCUCAACAAAGCAUGUCCGAAGGUUCCCUACCCUCUACCUCUCAUCGAUCAAAUCGUGGAUUCCACUGCUGGGUGCGAAACCCUGUCCUUCCUUGAUGCCUACUCAGGGUAUCACCAAAUCCGGAUGAAAGAGUCCGACCAGCUCGCGACUUCUUUCAUCACGCCCUUCGGCAUGUACUGCUAUGUCACCAUGCCGUUCGGUUUGAGGAACGCGGGCGCAACGUACCAGCGGUGCAUGAACCAUGUGUUCGGCGAACACAUCGGUCGCACAGUCGAGGCCUACGUCGAUGACAUCGUAGUCAAGACAAGGAAGGCUUCCGACCUCCUCUCCGACCUUGAAGUGACAUUCCGAUGUCUCAAAGCAAAAGGCGUCAAGCUCAAUCCCGAGAAGUGUGUCUUCGGGGUGCCCCGGGGCAUGCUCUUGGGGUUCAUCGUCUCCGAGCGAGGCAUCGAAGCCAACCCGGAGAAGAUCGCAGCUAUCACCAGCAUGGGGCCCAUCAAGGACUUAAAAGGCGUACAGAGGGUCAUGGGAUGUCUCGCGGCCCUGAGCCGCUUCAUCUCACGCCUCAGCGAAAGAGGUCUGCCUCUGUACCGCCUCUUAAGGAAGGCCGAGUGUUUCGCUUGGACCCCUGAGGCCGAGGAAGCUCUCGGGAACCUGAAGGCGCUCCUUACAAAGGCGCCUAUCUUGGUGCCCCCAGCUGACGGAGAAGCCCUCUUGGUCUACGUCGCCGCGACCACUCAGGUGGUUAGCGCCGCGAUUGUGGUCGAGAGGCAAGAAGAGGGGCAUGCAUUGCCCGUUCAGAGGCCAGUUUACUUCGUCAGCGAGGUACUGUCCGAAACCAAGAUCCGCUACCCACAAGUUCAGAAGCUGCUGUAUGCAGUGAUCCUGACGAGGCGAAAGUUGCGACAUUACUUCGAGUCUCAUCCGGUAACUGUGGUGUCAUCCUUCCCCCUGGGGGAGAUCAUCCAGUGCCGAGAGGCCUCGGGCAGGAUCGCAAAGUGGGCGGUGGAAAUCAUGGGCGAGACAAUUUCGUUCGCCCCUCGGAAGGCCAUCAAGUCCCAGGUAUUGGCGGACUUCGUAGCCGAAUGGGUCGACACCCAGCUGCCGACCGCUCCAAUCCAACCGGAGCUCUGGACCAUGUUUUUCGACGGGUCGCUGAUGAAGACGGGAGCCGGCGCGGGCCUGCUCUUCAUCUCGCCCCUCGGGAAACACCUACGCUACGUGCUACGCCUCCAUUUCUCGGCGUCCAACAAUGUGGCUGAGUACGAGGCUCUGGUCAACGGGUUGCGGAUCGCCAUCGAGCUAGGGGUCAGACGCCUCGACGCCCGCGGUGACUCGUAGCUCGUCAUCGACCAAGUCAUGAAGAACUCCCACUGCCGCGACCCGAAGAUGGAGGCCUACAGCGAUGAGGUUCGGCGCCUGGAAGACAAGUUCUACGGGCUCGAGCUUAACCACAUCGCUCGGCGCUACAACGAGACUGCGGACGAGCUGGCAAAAAUAGCCUCGGGGCGAACGACGGUUCCCCCGGACGUCUUCUCCCAGGAUCUGCAUCAACCCUCCGUCAAGAUCAACGACACGCCCGAGCCCGAGGCACCCUCGGUCCAGCCCGAGGUACCCUCGGCUCAGCCCGAGGUACCCUCGGCUCAGCCCGAGGCGUCCUCGGUUCAGCCCGAGGUACCCUCGGCCCCCGAGGGCGAGGCACUGCACGUCGAGGAGGAGCAGAACGGGGCCACGCCUGAUCGAAAUUGGCAGACCCCGUACCAGCAAUAUCUCCGCCAAGGAGAGCUACCCCUCGACCAAGCCGAGGCUCGGCGGGUAGCGCGACGCGCCAAGUCGUUCGUCUUGCUGGGCGAUGAGGAGGAGCUCUACCACCGCAGCCCCUCGGGCAUCCUCCAGCGAUGCAUCUCCAUCGCCGAAGGUCAGGAACUCCUGCAAGAAAUACACUCGGGGGCUUGCGGCCAUCAUGCAGCGCCUCGAGCCCUUGUCGGGAAUGCUUUCCGGCAAGGCUUCUACUGGCCAACGGCGGUGGCUGACGCCACUAGAAUUGUCCGCACCUGUGAAGGGUGCCAAUUCUAUGCGAAGCAGACCCACCUGCCCGCUCAGGCUCUACAGACGAUACCCAUCACCUGGCCCUUUGCUGUAUGGGGUCUGGACCUCGUCGGUCCCUUGCAGAAGGCGCCCGGGGGCUACACGCACCUGCUGGUCGCCAUCGACAAAUUCUCCAAGUGGAUCGAGGUCCGACCCCUGAACAGCAUCAGGUCCGAGCAGGCGGUGGCGUUCUUCACCAACAUCAUCCAUCGCUUCGGGGUCCCAAACUCCAUCAUCACCGACAACGGUACCCAGUUCACCGGCAGAAAAUUCUUGGAUUUUUGCGAGGAUCACCACAUCCGGGUGGACUGGGCCGCCGUGGCUCAUCCCAUGUCGAAUGGGCAAGUAGAGCGUGCCAACGGCAUGAUUCUACAAAGGCUCAAGCCCCGGAUUUACAACGACCUCAACAAGUUCGGCAAGCGAUGGAUGAAGGAACUCCCCUCGGUGGUCUGGAGCCUGAGGACAACGCCGAGCCGAGCCACGGGUUUCACGCCGUUCUUCCUGGUCUACGGGGCCGAGGCCAUCCUGCCCACUGACCUGGAAUACGGCUCCCCGAGGACGAGGGCCUACAACGAUCAAAGCAACCAAGCUAGCCGAGAAGAAUCGCUGGACCAGCUGGAAGAGGCUCGGGACAAGGCCUUACUACACUCGGCGCGGUACCAGCAGUCCCUGCGACGCUACCACGCCCGAGGGGUCCGGCCCCGAGACCUCCAGGUGGGCGACCUGGUGCUUCGGCUGCGGCAAGACGCCCGAGGGAGGCACAAGCUCACGCCCCCCUGGGAGGGGCCAUUCGUCAUCGCCAAAGUUCUGAAGCCCGGAACGUACAAGCUGGCCAACAAUCAAGGCGAGAUCUAUGGCAACGCUUGGAACAUCCAACAGCUACGUCGCUUCUACCCUUAAGAUUUUUUCAAGUUGUUCAUAUACCUCGCACCCACGCAAAGUUUAGUCAUCAAGGAAGGGUCGGCCUCGCCUCGGCAAAGCCCGACCCUCCCUCGGGGGCUAAAAAGGGGGGGACCCCCUCUGCGUUGAAAUUUUCCUCGAAAAAGAUCUCUUUUAGCAGAAUAUCUUUCGUGCUUUUUGACUACUUCGAAAAGCGGAUCCUGAAAACGACGGAGUACACGUAAGCAGCCAAGGCUGACCGAGCCGAGGGACUCCUACGCCUCCGGGAUACGGAUACCUCACUCAUCACCUUCUGCGAUAAGUAACUCGCGUUCGGAUAAAGUGAUUCCGCGGACCGAACAAGUCUUUACGAUCGGAAGCUCUUCUGCCGAAGCGAUCCUUCGAGCCUUCUCGACUGAAUCGGUGACAGGGCCUCAUGGACGGGUGAAAGUACGCGUAAGCGACAAGGCCGACCGAGCCGAGGGACUCCCACGCCUCCGGGAUACGGAUACCUCACUCAUUACCUUCCGCGAGAAGCAACUCUCGCUUGCACAAACAUCCCUGUUAUCGACAAAAAAGUCCAGAUGCUCGAAAUAAGAGGAAAGGAGACGCAGCUUUACAACGCAGCGAGGGUGUGUUUUCUGGCCUCAGCGGCCGCAUAAGGCACACGCUACAAGACAAUCUGAUCCUGCAGGCUCGGGUCUUCACGCUGGAAGGGGGCUGUAGCACCCUCGGCAUCGACGACACCUUCAGCAAGGUCCGACCCAGCCUCGGACGGCGACGCGGUCCAGGGACUUCUCCGGGAAUCCAGCCUGAGCAGGCGGCUCGGCCGGUUACCCCAGGGGCCUUGGCCAACCAUCUUCCAAGGGCGCCAGCCCGGUCCGAGGCCUCGGCUGAUCAACUCCGGCAUCGGUCCCGCUGACGGACAACCCGGCUAGGCUCCGGCCAACCAGGUUUUCAUUUUCGAGCCAACUCCGCCUCUGUUCGUGCUGAUAUCGCUACCCCUGGCCUCGGCUCAUCGAAGAGCGGCCAAGGGGUCUCUUUAACUAAGCUAGAGGAGCCUCAGACAACAAGGCCGAUCGAGCCGAGGGACUCCUACGCCUCUGGGAUACGGAUACCUCACUCGUCACCUUGACACGGGGCGACUCAUGCUUGGUGAAGCAGUUCAGAUAAUCAACAGGCGAGACUUAGUGCUCGAAAAUGAGGAAAAGACACGGCUCCGUGCCAAAAUUACAUACAUGUUCAGGCCUCGACAGCCACAAUGAACAAAGACACUGGCAUUCAAAGUGCCUUUACAAACGGAACUCUGGUUCCGUCCCCGCGGGUAUGAGCAACCUCGAGCCUGCGGGGCGACGAACGUCGGAAGGCUCGCCAGCAACCUCUGCGGCAGCAGCCAUGGUCCCGGGUGGACGCGGCCACCAGAGGGCUCACGUUCGCGGUCCCGCUCAAGGGACGCGAACCAGCUAUUAAAGCCAAAGAGCGGGCCGCUCCCAAGCGCACCGGCAGAUCCUCGUUGCCGUCCUCGCCGCGAAUGAGAGGGAAAGGACGGAAUGUUGCAUCCUAGCUGGGCAGCAGCAGUUCGCCUUCCCCGGCAUGACUGGAGGACGUCUCCAUCGCAGCGCGGGAGGACGAUUGCCACCACCAGAAGCUGGAAGAAGAGGUGGUCCGCCGACCCGCGCAGGAGGUAGAGCCCCGGCUCGCCUCGCUCCCCGCCCCAGCGAGGAUGACGAACACCCCCGAUGCUGAGGGCGGGAUCACAACCUGGCUUGCCUCUCCCCAUCCAGGAGCUGGAGGUCACCGUCUUGGGUGACCACCAGCGGAGGGGAGCAACCGGGCUGUGUGAUGAAAAUCCUUGAAGCCGAACGAUGGCUGAAAGGUACCAACUCCCACGGGGUUGCGUUCCUCCAACGAUGAGGCAAAAAGACGGCGGGUACCCCCCAUCCGGGGGCUUGGAAGGUGGAAAGACGCGACGCAUAAGGGAGCGAGAAGACAUGGUCGCCUUACGAAAGGGGUCGCCCUCCUUUUAAAGGCAACUCUCCCUACGUGCGACCCCAAACGUCACGGGCUGAGUCUUCUCCAACACGCUCCAAGGCCCUCCCCUGUGGCGCGGGGGCUGGGUCUCGCGUGUCAUGCAAACCGGCUCAGAGCAGAAGAAGCCAAACCACCGCGCGUGGUGCACACAACCGCCCAGCAGUUACAAGCGACCCCCCACUUUUGCCCAGACCAACGGGCGGAAGGGGCGGGCAGCCAUGCAGGCGGCAUGCAAUCGCGCCAGGUGGACGCGCUUCUCCGACUCCCAACACGCCAGCAUGGAGGCCCAGGCCCACGCGUCACGCAACCGGCGCGCCAGAUGCUGCAUGCAAGCAACUGCACCGCCACUUGCGCCACCACCGCGCCUCUUCGGUUGCGGAACCAAUACCGCGACUCGAGGCGGCCCAGCGCACGACCCAGCAGCGCCAGCCUGGCGCGACGGUCAAUACGGCCGAAAGUGGGCCGGCAGUAAUGACGGUGGCAGGCGGGCGGGAGCAGCGGUGUCACACCCGGAUUUUGGGGCACCAAGACCCGGGCGCGAACAUAAUCACCAGGUGUGCUGGGACCAAGUCUCACACGUAGGAUGAUUCAUGGCACAGGAUCGAAUGUCACAUCUUUACUAUAUAACCAGAGUUUUGUACAAAAUAAAUAAAUAAUUACAUUAUAUGGAGACAACGGUCCAGCAACCCAAAGUUGACUGGGAGACGACGGCCUAGAUCUCUCACGAACUCAUCGCAGCAUCCUCCAUGCGCCUCAUCCUGCGGUACCUGUUCUUGACCUGUGGGGGGGUGUGAGACAGCAAGAGUGAGCUCACAUACGUUCAUCGCUCAACAAGUUGUGGGGAAUAAUGUGCAUGAACUCGCCAAAGGUGGGAGCUCACGUGAAGUGUAAGGCUUACCAAAGAAGAUGGUUAGAGCUGAGCAUUGCUUUUAAAGUUGGUCAAAAUUUUAUUAGCAGUUACUAAGUAUAAGUAAAUACCAACCCAAUUAAAUAGUAGAACAAAAGUAACCACAUCACCUGCGAUGCAAUGCAUAUGACAGAUUGAAUUUAAUUCCAUAAAUUAAUCAUCAGAGAGUCCUGAGCUGCUCAUGACCGUGAGCUCGGCUAGUAUACCAGUUUUACACUCUGCAGAGGUGGUACCCUUUACCCACAAGUCAUGUUACCCAUCUGCCAAGGGAUCGCGACUUCCCAUACACCUCUACCGAGGAGGCGAGGCAGGGUAACACUACGAGGCCUUUACAAAGUUCCACUAGCUUCAGAAAACCCGCUACAGUUUAUAGGAAGCUCCAAUGCAGGAAUCCCUUGCAGGACCGCCAUCGCAGCAAAAUCCUCCCGAGGGCCUCCCUACACUGACCACUCCCCUACUGCCCUUGCCCCUUUCGGGUAAGGUAGUCCUCCACUAGCUUUCCUAAUUAAUCAGCCAAGGGCGUCCAUAAACCCUUGUGGUGGCACGUGUUUCUCAAGUUAAGCUCUAUGUUCCAAUUAACAUUUAAUGAUCUUGUCAUGAACAUAAAUAAAAUAACAACAUAAUUGGAACAUAGAUAUAAUAAAAUAUUAACCCAAAACCAUAUAAAGCAGUAGCAGAACUACCCAAGUGAUUCAGGGUAAACAAGGUAUUCAGGAUAAACAAACUAGGGUGACCUAUUGGGUCCCAUCAAAAUUAAACCUAUGCAGAUCAUUAUGAUUAAUUAGAACAUGAGUGGGUAAAAGAAGUGAUCAAGGGCACAACUUGCCUGGGACUUGAGAUUCCAGGUACCAGGAUGAUCUUCAGGUGGCUCGUAACCUCGCGCUAGUCGUAGCAAUACAAACAAACAUGGCAUAGGCAAAAUUAACAUCACAUCAAACAUAUAUGCAAAAUACAUAAUAAUGAUCUAUAUAUUGAAAUAAGAUCACAGGAACAGGAAUUAUAAUUUUUGGAGUUACAGAUUUUAAGUUAUGAAUUUUCAAAGGUUUUAUGUGUUUGAAAUAUAAUUAGAUGAGGAAUAAAUUUUCUUACUGUUUUCAUGACCAAACAGAGGCUCUAAGUGAUGGAGAAUAAAAGUACAAAAUUUUAGAAACUGGAAUGGAGUAAUUUGGAGCUCAUAUGAAUUUUCUAUGAAUUAUCAAAGUUCUAGCAUAUAUUUUCACAUUAAAAAUCCUUUUAUAAUUCAAUUUCUCGGGUUAAAACUAUUCUGGACGGGGCCUCAUAUUAUGGAAAGUGCAGGGGCUACGGUGCAACAUUCCCAAGACUCAGAAAACCCCAGGCAUGGACGGCGGGUUGAUUCGUAUUUUUCUUGAGGGCUCUUAAGUAAAAUGUCCAGGCCGAAGGGGUAUCGGCCGAUCAGUGUCGUCCAAUCUAGGACCGAUGGGCAAGAUUAGAUCGAGCAUCACCUAAACCGGUAUCCAAUGGUAGCCAUCGGAUCGAGAUCCGACGCCCAGUGUUUUAAAUAACCCUAGGCUCGUUUUGACCAUCCAUCACCCAAUUACCGGCUCAGAUUGCACGAACGACGGGAUGCGCUUCUGGCUAAAUUGUGACCGCCCAACGAGAAAUCAACGGUUCACAGACGUCGUCUUUCCCCCGACCAAACGCACGGCGGCGCCGCCCCGCAUGCUCGGCGGAGCACGCCGGUGAGGAUGCAAUCGGCCGUUCCCGAGCGCCAUAUACAAAUUGGACCGAGAUACACGUAGAGGAGGACGAGGCGAGUCGAUUGGAUGGGUUUCUUACCGACGAAAUGAUGCCCAGGAGCUCGGCCACGGUGCCACACGAAUUUGCGGAUGCCCGAGGUCAACGGUGAGCGAUUCCUCCCUCACCGGUCGCCAAUCGCACGCGUGGUUGAGUCGUACGUACUCCACGUGAUCCCACGCAGCUUCUCGGAUAACACCAGAUCCUCAAGUGCCCGCCAACGACGUGAGGGAUGGUGGAAUGCGGCGGCCGCACUUUCUCCUGGCGGCGACAGGUUCCACGGUUGUGUGCCUCUCGGUGUUCGGGUACGGCGCAGAACCAGGAGCCAAGGACGCAAGGGGGGGGGGAGGGUUUAUAUCUCCACGGCGGCUUGGGCGAUCCCAACCUAAUGGAGUCCGAGCGGUCAGUAGGCCGCGGCAUGCGAGGAAGCCGUUGAGCUCGGUUUCAAUGGAGGCGACCCGCAGCGCAGGGGAUAAGGUCCAACCACCCGGAGAAAUAGGCGUGAGUCGUUGAGCUUGGCCGCCGCAACCGAGCCCGCGGUAAUGGCGAGAGCGCCCGCCGGAUUCGGUUGGAGACCGGCUUCAGGUAGAGGAAGGUCCCGGCGGGUGGGGCCCAAUAACAGAGGCUUGGGUGACGCGUGUGAGGGCGGUCUGACGGGUGGGUCCCGCCUGCCAGUGCCGAGGCGCGGGAGAGCGAGUGGCUCGGCUGACAUGGGCCACACGCGCGGUGAGGGCAAGUGGAGCUGGGCCGAAUUGAGGGGAGGCGGCCCAACUGGCUAGGUUAGUUUUAUUCUUUUCUUUUCUAAUCUCUAUUUUUAGUUUCCUAGAUUCAAAUUAAAUCUAAACUUUCAGUUUUGAAUAAAUUCCAACCUCAAACACAAUGCACCAUCAAGUAAAGCUCAGCAUGUAAUGCAAAGUCAUCCAUAUGUGUGUUAGUUAUUUUAUUCAUUUGGGUACAACUUCUCAAUGUAUCAUCCAUGAAAGAAUAGUUUUACCCAAAUUAAUAAAAUAAAUAUUUCUAUCAUCACGUUCUGGGUUUGAAAUAUUAUAUUCAAAAAGUCAAUGCUCUAUUUGAGAUAUCAAAAUUUUAAUGCUACUUUUAUUUAUUAUUAUGUACCUCAUAAUUCAAAUUCUUGUUUCAAGAUCUAUUCUUAGAUUUGAACCACCAUAUUAAAAUUUAAUAUUAUCAUUUAUUUAUUUUAAGAAAAUGAUCCCAAACCAUUAAAAUGCCUUAUUAAAAGACAUUUUAUCUAAAUACUUUGAAGAACUAUCCCCAAUAAUCAAGGCAUGAUUUUAGGGUGUUACAAGCGGUCACGUCGUCGGCCAGACUCACGUCCCGUCCGGGGGCAGCAAGAGAACCCCCUCUCACGGCGUGAAGACAGGGCGCCCGUGAUCCGUUCCUCGAACGGCUCGCGCACGCGCAACGGCCUCCCUGCCAACAACUCACCCCGUCGCAUUAACUCCGCGGCGGGACAGGCGGCACUUCUGGCAGGAGAAGCGGGCGACGCUUCGCCUUCGCCGUAAUAACCGCGCCAAAAAAGGUACGCCACGUCGUUCGAUUUCGUAUCCUUUUCCUUUUUUCCUCUUUCUCUAUCUCUUGCAACAGGGACCGGGAAAGGGGGAUACCCCGAAAAGGAUCCUUCCCUGUGAAGGAACCGGGCUCUGAGCCCCCCCUACUGAUCAGAGGUUCGAAGGCUGGCCCCCCGAGGGGUUCAACAGUCGCCUCAGAUCGCGUGGUCCCUACACCCACUAUUGGUCAGAGGUUCGAAGGCCGGCCCCCCGAAGGGCUCCACGGCCGCCUCAGGCUACUCGGGCUCCGCGCCCAUUACUGAUCAGGGGUUCGAAGGCUGGCCCCCGAAGGGUUCACAGUCGCCUCAGACGCCGAGCGAGGGAUGACCAGGGGUACAUUCGAUACAUAACCAAGGCUCGGGCUGCGCUCCCGAGGUACCCUAGGACAUUUCCGAGACCAGCGGGAGCGAUCUUGUAACGGAAUCCCAUCGGAGGGAGGCAUCGAGCCCUCGGACCCCGUCGCCAGGGGACCGGGUCCGGCAGAUCACCCGCAGGUACUUUUGGGCGUGCCUCUGGGCCCCUAGCCGACCCCCAACGAACGGGGCACGGACGUCCACUCGGAUUACCCGCUUGCAGCUCACCGGAGACACCAUGUUCGGUGCCCAUCGAGGGUAACAUGGCGCUCUCCCCCCCUCCUCCUUGCGGAAAGGCGACGUAGGGGCAUAUGUAAAAAAGCCGAGUCUGUCCCUGAUCGCCCUCUCGCCCUGUGCAGAGGCUCGGGGGCUGCACUCGCAAACCCGGCUCCGGCCGAACCGUUGACAGCGUCAACAUACCAGCCCGAGAACUUAGGCCCCGACCGUGCACCCGGGCUACGGCCAGUUCGCAUGAGGGAACAACCAGACCAGCCGAAGCAUUACGCAAGGCAUUAAGACCUCGAGGGAGUGAAACCACUCCUUCGAGGCCUCGGGGGCUACACCCGGCGGGUGCGCUCGCGCGCACCCACCGGAACAAAAUGCAACCGAGAAAGGCUGGUCCCCUUGCAAAAAAGUGCGACGAAAGCCUCCAAGCGAGUGCUAACACUCCCUUCGAGGCUCGGGGGCUACUGUCGGGGACCAUAAUUAGGGGUACCCUCAAGACGCUUAAUUCUCAGCUGGUAACCCCCAUCAGCAUAAAGCUGCAGAGGCUUGAUGGGUGCGAUUAAGUCAGGGAUCAGUCCAUACGAGCGACUCGAUCACGCCUCGCCCGAGCCUAGCCUCGGGCAAGGGCAGCCGACCCCGAGGGAUUUCCGUCUCGCCCGAGGCCCCCCUUUAACGGCGGACACAUCUCCGGCUCGCCCGAGGCCUUGCAUUCGCUAAGAAGCAACCCUGACUAAAUCGCCGCGCCGACCGACCAAGUCGCAGGAGCAUUUAACGCAAAGGUGUCCUGACACCUUUAUCCUGACGCGCGCCCCCGGCAGAGCCAAAGUGACCGCCGUCACUUCGCCGCUCCACUGACCGGUCUGACAGAAGGACGGCGCCGCCUGCGCCACUCCGACUGCAGUGCCACUUGACAGAGUGAGACUGACAGGCAGUCAGGCCCUGCCAAAGGCGCCAUAGGAAACUCCGCUCCGCCCGACCCAGGGCUCGGACUCGGGCUAAGCCCCGGAAGACGGCGAACUCCGCUCCGCCCGACCCAGGGCUCGGACUCGGGCUAAGCCCCGGAAGACGGCGAACUCCGCUCCGCCCGACCCAGGGCUCGGACUCGGGCUAAGCCCCGGAAGACGGCGAACUCCGCUCCGCCCGACCCAGGGCUCGGACUCGGGCUAAGCCCCGGAAGACGGCGAACUCCGCUCCGCCCGACCCAGGGCCCGGACUCGGGCUAAGCCCCGGAAGACGGCGAACUCCGCUUCGCCCGACCCAGGGCUCGGACUCGGGCUCAGCCCCAGAAGACGACGAACUCCGCUUCGCCCGACCCCAGGGCUCGGACUCCGCCCUGGCCUCUGCCGAACAACCUUCGCCUCGCCCAACCCAGGGGCUCGGGCUCGGCCUCGGCCAUGGAAGACAGACUCGACCUCGGCUUUGGAGGAGCCUCCACGUCGCCCGACCUAGGGCACAGGCCAGCCACGUCAACAGGAAGCGCCAUCAUCACCCUACCCCGAACCGACUCGGGCCGCAGAGAACAAGACCGGUGUCCCAUCUGGCUAGCUCCGCCAGAUAGGCAAUGAUGGCGCCCCGCUAGCCCUGUGACGACGGCGGCUCUCAGCUCCCUUACGGAAGCAGGGGGACGUCAGCAAGGACUCGACCGCUCCGACAGCUGUCCCUCCGCCAGGCUCCGUUGCUCCUCCGACAGCCACGACAUCACACCAGCAGGGUGCCAAGAUCUCUCUGGCUGCCACAUUGGCAUGUACUUAGGGCGCUAGCUCUCCCCCCGCUAGACACGUAGCACUCUGCUACACCCCCAUUGUACACCUGGAUCCUCUCCUUACGCCUAUAAAAGGAAGGACCAGGGCCUUCUUAGAGAAGGUUGGCCGCGCGGGGACGAGGACGGGACAGGCGCUCUCUUGGGGCCGCUCGCUUCCCUCACCCGCGUGGACGCUUGUAACCCCCUACUGCAAGCGCACCCGACCUAGGCGCGGGACGAACACGAAGGCCGCGGGAUUUCCACCUCUCUCACGCCCGUCUCCGGCCACCUCGCUUCCCCCCUUCGCGCUCGCCCACGCGCUCGACCCAUCUGGGCUGGGGCACGCGGCACACUCACUCGUCGGCUUAGGGACCCCCCGGUCUCGAGACGCCGACAAUUCCCAUGUCUGUAUACCCAUACACAUCCAUGGGGUACUGAAUUCCCAGAAAAGUAAAUACUCCAUAUCGCAGCUUUCAUAUAUACAUAUGUGGAACAUGUAUAUAAUCAAGCGCAACAAUCAAGCACUCCCCUAGACAGACGUUUGUUCGGUCAUGCUCUCACAUCUCACCUUACCUGAGUGUCUAUCCAUUCAGAACUGAAUGGCCUCAAAAAUAACAAUACACAUGUAUGCAAUACCCCCGGUUGUGGGUUAGUGGUUUUGAACUAAGCCACCUAAUAGUCCUUAACUUAGGGCUUAAUAGAGGAUGUCGCUAGCAUUAUAGUUUUUCAAAACUGUUUUUCAAAGCCAAACAAUGUGUUUAGUUGAAAAUAGGUUUUUCAAAACCAAAACUUUUGUUUUGAAACUACGUAUGUGACCGUAUAUACUUAAUCCUGCUCCAAUACCAGCCUGUGACAGAACCUCCCAAGUUAUUGGGCCCACAUGCACCUGCCCUUGUCUCAAAGACCUCAGACUGCUAUGCAUGUGCACCAGAUAACUUAACAGGAUCCGUCCGAUUGCCCAAGGACAUCGGAUAAACCACUUACAACCAGAACCGCGGGAUUAAGUAACACAAAUCACACACACCAAUAUUGUUGCAGCGGAAAUCUUACUACCAAAUUUUACAGGUUACAAAAAUUUUACAUUAGUUUGUCGGAGUGAUUACAAAAGUAUAAGUUUGAAAUAUAUGCUAGCUCAAGGGAUCAUCCUCAAUAAGAAGUAUAGAAGGGUUACUUAGACUUAUAAGAAGGCCGAGCCCACCGGCACUUAACACCAUCAUCAGCAGCACAAAACUAAAACCUGAAAAACAACAGGGAAUAAAACCCUGAGUAUGGAAUUACUCAGCAAGUCUUACCCGACUAAAGAAAAGACUCUCAAGGGUAUGCUGGCUUAAGGGAGUCAAGGUAAGGCUUCUCAAUAAUCAAAGACUCUGUUUUGCAGAAAUGCUUACUAAAGUGGAUCCUUAAAAAUCCAGUUUUAUUUGUCAAGUUAAGUAAAAUUACCUGCAACUAGAGUUAUUUCUACCCUAGUUCAAUCACUUGACCUGCACUAGCCAAUUUCUUAAACAAACCAUCAUCUUUAGUGGAUUGCUACGUGUAAGUCAGUGACCAAGUCUUCAUAACCGCGAAGGUACGGCGAUCCGAAUCGAUUAUACUCAGCUGAGGAUCUCCAAUCACACAACAUAUGUAGCACUUAACCCUUGCAUAAUUCAACCCGCCACCGGGGUUCUUAAGACCAGAUCAGGUUCACGCAAACCGAGAGCACAGAUACACCACCGUCCAGCCUCUUGCUACGGGGGGUACACGCUACUCCCGCCACCGCUCCACGCCCAUUCCGUGUUAUCUUAUUCUGGCCUUAGUCUGCCCGAGGCAAGGCUUACCCAUGACGAGGCAUGUGACCAGUUAAAGGGUCCCCGGUCAGCAGGCCUACAUCGAGACAGUCCUUAAUCGACUCAGACAGAGACACUACACCGAGACUCCUUUCUCGUGCAAGUCACCCGCCCGGUCUCGGCUUAAUCAUUUCAAACCCAAAGUUUGGUACCUGGCAGAGGUACAUCUUUUCCGAUGUUGAACCCAUCAAGGCCCUGAUGGAUCCACCAUCACAUUUUAUUUUCGAAAACAUCCCACCCACUUUUGCCACAUCAUCUUUUGUAAAACAAAACAUUUUGUUUUUCUAAAGCAAGGCUAAGCAUCAAAAUCUUUUGUAAAACGGGUGAUCAAGGAAGGUAAUCAAAUUCAAGGAAGGUAAUGCAGGAAUUGUUUUAUCAAGCAACUCCUAUCACCUAAUGCAUCAAGCAAGUGAGAAAGAUUUUAAAACAUCAAGGAAGGUGGCAAAUGCACCGGGGCUUGCCUGAAUAACACUAGGUUAGUGUUUGUUAGGCGAUGUUCGCUUGACGAGUAUCCUUUGUUCUGAUACUUGUUUCGUCGGUCUAUCAGCAUCACCAUGCGGAGUAGCCCGCGCUUGGGGUCGACUUGGCUCAUCUUUCGCAUCACGCGAUUAUUUAUCAUACCUCAUGAGAUGCACGAUGCACAUGAAUGAGCACAUGUAUAACGAGUAUAAUAUAGAUAAUUUACACUAAAAAGGAUGAAACACUUUAAAACCAAGCAUUAAGCACCAUGGAUAUCACAGCAAAAAAAAUAUCUCUAUUUUUUUCCCACACGACGCUAUCAAAACAAGGAUAUAUUUAUAACAAAAACAUAAAUCUAAAUAUUAGGUUAUAGUUUGAGAGAGGUAUAAAUGAGCCAGACCGAAAUAAUAUUGACGACAAUAUCUGUUUAACUUGGAAAACAUUCCUGGAACCAGAUAAAUUUCUACCAGUUAUUAAUAUCCAAUUAUUUGGAUUUGUUCAGGUAGGAGGUAAACAGAUCGAAUUAAAAUGAUAUUUAGGUUACACAUAUUAUUUUUCGGACUACGAAUUAGUGAACCAACUUAAUUAUCAAUUACUCGCUUUCAGUUCUAAUUACACUGGUCUGGUUUGUUUCGGACUGAAAACCAUUUUCGUCGAGUUCCGAUUAAUUUGUUCCGGAUAAAAUCAUCAGAGUGGGUCGAGCUUCCGAAUUUGUAUUCGCACGGGCGAUGAAUUUUAAAUAAUCACCGGACGCACCGAUUUUCGGAACAAUUAUGUUCCGAACAUCAUGAAAAUUUAGGAAAAGCCCGGAUAGAUAAAAAACGAUGUCGAACCCGCGAAAGACGAAACAGAUUAAAACAGAGAGACUGUUAUUUAGUUUCAUCAAAUUUUUACGAUCCUCACCAGUGAUCGAUCAUUUGAUCUGACACCAACGAUCACAUGCUGAGAGGAACGAUUUACUUAAUCAGCUGGCGCAACGUUCUGUUCGGACAGCGCGGGCUCCAAAUUGUUCAUAAAAUCAGAAGUUUUCUGAUUUCCGUAUUCACUUACGCGCAUGAUCCGAACAGUUCAAAAAUCGCCAGCAAAUGAAGAUUCGAUAAUCCAAAAAAUUCUCAAACCCCUUUUAAUUACACAGAUUAUCGAAAUGAAAAUGGCACCAAACUCGAACCUUUGCGAGAUAAUUAAAAUUUAGUGUCCGUUUUAUUCAUCGCUAUCACGUGUUAAGGUCCGCACUUGUGGUCGAGCACACGAUAAACACUAGGGUGUUACAUGCUCGCCCCUAGCUCAACGGAUUUCCUCGCCACGUGCUCGCCCCCAUGGUGCCCGACCCUUCGCUGUCAACCAAGACCGUCGUAUCUGGCUAUCUGCUCUGCCGUUCAAGUUCUUCAGCUCGCCCAGGACGGCGUGUUGCUCGCUCCCCAGCUCGGACCGCGCGGCUCCCUGCGGCGCUCGCCCUGCUCCCUGCGCCGGAUCCCCGUUCCCCUGUGUUUCCAUGGCCGAAGCUCUCUUCCUCUCCCAGUUCGUCGGCGCUCAUCCAUGGCUGCGCCACUGGCUCGUCCCCUGCGCAGCACUCCAGUUGCGUCGCUGCGAGCUCGCCGUCAACCCCAUCCGGGUUCCUGGCGCUCCUCUUCUCUGGCUGUCGGUCUUGUCUCCCUCUCUCAAGCACGACGACAUCUGGGCAGUGGGCACUACACGACCACAUGUAUUCUCUUGUUGUCGUGUCGGCAUGCGCUCGCCAGCUUCCUUGCCCGCGUCUGCUGAGCUUGCCAAUGCUCCAGCUCGUCGGACUCCAGCCACCUCUCCAUGCCAUGCCUAUUUCCCUGUGGUCGGAGCUCGCCAACGCCCAUUGUUCCUCCACUUCGUUGGCUGUGUAUUCCCUCCACACACACCUCCUGCUCCCCUCGCCAUGGCAUGGAUGACCGAUGUAUCUGCUCCUGUGUCAUGUUCAAGCUGUCACUAGUUGGUGGGUUGUGCACUAUGUCGGGCUCACCGAGUUUUCGGUGCGCUGUCGCGGAUGCCGUCGCUUAGCUCGUCCAAAUCCUGGCCAUAAUUCCCGUCACGACCUAUGUCGGCAUGCUGACUCGACGUUGUCGUCCUUCUUUAUCCUCAUCUUCGCCUCGACCUCGCGUGGUGCUCGGCCGUGCACAGCUGCUGGUCGUCGACGUCCCUCCGAGUUGUCGGUCGUCGCUCGUGUUCACCUCCGUGUGCUGGGUGGCGUGGGUGGUAAUGUCUCGGCGCGCUGUUCAUUGGUGGUUCGAGGAUGUGCUUGAGUUAGAGAUGUUCCAAGUGGAUACUGGACGACCUUACACCGUGGACACAUCGAAGAUCCAUAGCAUACGGUGGUGCCAAGGAGAGAAAUUCCUAGGAACCGGGUAAUGAAGCGAGAUCCGUGCAACAAUUGCCAGGAGCUCGACCGAAUGUCUAAACUUAGAGCCGUUGUCGUCAUCGCGGUUAUCAAAUCCAUUCGGUCUUGGUAAGCCAAUUUAUUAUUUCGGCUAAUCGAAUUGGAUUAACUUGACUUGCUAGUCGUAAUAAUUCUCGUGUUUAGCAGAUGCGUCGUGUUCGUGUUAGAUGUUUGCUAAAAUACCUCAGCCCCUCCGGUAAUGUAAUCGUGUGAAAUAAAUGCGUACUAUGGUGCACCUUAGGUCUAUAAUGCAGGUUAAAUGAAAUAUUUAAUUUAGUGGGACUUAUGCUGCAUAAUAAUUGAGAACAGUAAUUCUAGAAGUUAAUGGAAUGAUUUCUAUUUCUAUUCUAAGUUUAGAUAUUGUGCUCUAGUCAAGAGAGAUAGAGCGCCUGUAAACGGCUCGCUAUGGUUUAUGAUAUUCUUAUCUAUAUGCAUUCAUGUGCAUAAUGCAUUUCAUUCAGGUACGUUAAUUAAUCGCGUGAUGCGGAAGACGACCCAGGUCGACCCCAAGCGCGAGCUAACCCCCAGGAUGAUGUUGAUGGACAGAACCGAAGAUGGAUAAUCUGGCGAAUGCCAAGACAUAGGAUGGUCGCCAAGUAAUCGUCUGCUAACAAACAAUAACGUAGUGUUUAUUCUAGGCAAGCCCCGGUGCAUUUACCCCUUCCUUGUGUUUUUAAAAAUAUUUUUAUACACUUUAAGUCUAGUGAAAUGUGCAUUAAGUUUAUAGGAGUUGCUUGGAAACCCUUUGAUGCAUUGCCUACCUUGAUAUCCAUACCUUUAUAGGUACUUCUGGUGAAGUAUCAAAAUAUGAUUUACAAAAAAAUGCUUAGCCCUGCUUAUAAGCAGAUAGAGUUUGUCCUUUGCACUUAUGCCUAGCUCAGGUUUAUCCUGAGGAAGGAUGACCUCUACCUGCAAGAAUAUUUUCAUUGGGAGCAUGGUGGGAUCUUACUGCAAAGUUCCCUAUAAUGCUCUUUUCAUCCUUAGUAACACAAAACAAUCCUAAGGGUGGAAGUACUUAAAUCGGGACUUGGGCUAGGAACAGGUGAUGUUCCGUCUGGGUCAAUUAAGGAUUGGAUGCGUAUGUAGGCCUGUAUGAUCAGGGACUAUCUUAACUGCCACAUACCCUAGAUAUGGGACAGGGUAAGCUUGAACCCGGCUAUUCCAUACGUGAAAAGACAACCGCGCACUGGGCGUGGGAGAUAGGGCUGGGCAUUCGGUCUAUUAGGGUAAUUCGGUUCGGUCUAUUCGGGUUUGUGAAAUUUCGGGUUCUGUAAAAUGAGAACCGAAAUUUUCAAAAUAAUUUUAGGAACCGAACCCGAAUAGACUCACAAUUUCGGUUCGGUCUAUUCGGUAUACCGAAUAGACUCGAAUAGUAGAGAGGCUAGUAUCUUUUGUUAAAAUAUAUACACUGAAUAAUUAAUUGGAAGUACUAUUAUUACAACAAGUGACGAUAAAAAAUAGCAUACAUAGAUAUAUAUACUAUCGUUAAGAUGAUAUCAUUAUUUUUGGUUAAUAAGUUCAUAAAUCAUAUAAUAAUACCAUCACAUAUUAAGAGCUUUUUUAUAUUUCGGGUUAUUCGGUCUAUUCGGGUUUUAAAGGUUAGGAACCGAACCCGAACCCAUACUCCGAAAUAUAGCAUAUUUAGGAACCGAACCCGAACCCGAAAACCCGAAUAGACCAACAAUUUGGUCUAUUUGGGUUCGGGUUCGGUUUUUGGUUUUAAUAUGCCCACCCCUAGUGGGAGAUGGUGGGAGUAGCGUGUACCCUCCUGGCUAGAGGCUGGAUGGAGGAGUACUGUGCUCCCGGGUAGCGCGGACCGGUUCACGUUAUGGAGGAUCUGUGGGAACGGUUGACAUAUACAAGGGUUAAGUGCUACAUAUGUCGUGUGGUUAGAGAUCCUCAACUGAGUAAAUCGAUUCGGAUCGCUGUUAUGUCCCCGGACAGUGGAGACUUGAUCACUGACCUACAACCUAAGUCUGGAUGUAAACAUUAUGAGUAAAAAUAAUGUUGUAUUGAUGAAAUGGUGAAAUUAGACUAGAUGCAAACAGAGUCUAUUAAUAUUUAAUCUGGCGUUAAAAUAUUGAAAGUAUAGACUCACUUCAGUAAGCUAAUUCUGCAAAAGUAUCUAAGUUGAUUCUUGCUAAAGCCUCUCCUUGAUUCCCAAAUCCAGCAUAUCCUUGAGAGUCUUUUCUUUAGUCGGGUAAGUCUUGCUGAGUAAUUCCAUACUUAGGGUUUUAUUCCCUGUUGUUUUUCAGGUUAUAGUUUUGUGCUGCUGUUGAUGGUGUUAAGUGCCGGUGGGCUCGGCCUUCUUAUAUAAGUAUACCCCAUCUUUAUCUUCUUAUUGAGGAUGGUCACUUGAGCUAGCAUAUAUUUCAAACUUAUAAACAAUUUAUAACAAUUCAAACUUAUUUCUUUGAAUCACUUUUGUAACCACUCCGAUCA